UUAUGGCGUCAGGAUGAACGCUGGCGGCGUGCCUAACACAUGCAAGUCGAGCGAGAAACUCAUGACCAAUACCUCGGUGCGUGAUGAGCGGAAAGCGGCGGACGGGUGAGUAACGCGUAGGCAACCUGCCCCUUGCAGAGGGAUAGCCUCGGGAAACCGGGAUUAAAACCUCAUAAUGCGUAACGGAGACAUCUCCGAUACGCCAAAGAUUUAUCGGCAAGGGAUGGGCCUGCGUCUGAUUAGUAGUUGGUGGGGUAACGGCCUACCAAGGCAGCGAUCAGUAGCCGACCUGAGAGGGUGAUCGGCCACAUUGGAACUGAGACACGGUCCAAACUCCUACGGGAGGCAGCAGUGGGGAAUAUUGCACAAUGGGCGAAAGCCUGAUGCAGCAACGCCGCGUGAAGGAUGAAGGCCCUUGGGUCGUAAACUUCUGUUCUAAGGGAAGAUAAUGACGGUACCUUAGGAGCAAGUCCCGGCUAACUACGUGCCAGCCGCCGC
rnacentral:rRNA from 1 species